UACGUAGGGUGCGAGCGUUGUCCGGAAUUAUUGGGCGUAAAGAGCUCGUAGGCGGUGUGUCGCGUCGGCCGUGAAAACCUGGGGCUUAACUCUGGGCGUGCGGUCGAUACGGGCAUCACUAGAGUUCGGCAGGGGAGACUGGAAUUCCUGGUGUAGCGGUGAAAUGCGCAGAUAUCAGGAGGAACACCGGUGGCGAAGGCGGGUCUCUGGGCAAUAACUGACGCUGAGGAGCGAAAGCGUGGGGAGCGAACAGG
rnacentral:rRNA from 1 species